AAUGGAGUCAAUUGCUUGAUAGGUGAGAUGCUAUUGAUUUCUUCCCUGGCCUUCUCGUUUUUUGAAGGACAAUGAUAAGUAAUGUGGAAACAUGCUCAAUGGACUCUGUGAUGCAUUGGAGACCUUAUGGAUCGCUCACAUUUGAAGACAGGAUUGUGCAAAUCUGUACUGAUCACAACUAAUUUGGGUAUUGAUUUGGGUCCUAGGCAACCAGGCGCACCGUACAAAGCCUGAAAUAGAUGACCUCUUAAGAGCAUUACCCAACCAAGCAGGGCAAUAAUGCUCCUAUCUUUUCCAUUCUACUGGGACAGUUUAGAUAUUGACAAUUCUAAUAGAACGGCUUUUCAUUUCAGCGUAGUCCGUGAGGUUCUGAAGAAAAGGAGCAUUUCAUCUUAACCAGGGAGUGGAUGGUAAAUUGAAGUGAUGUGAAUUGAUGAAGGCCAGGAUUAGUAAGCUAUUUAUGAUGAGUUUUACAUGUUUUAUGUACUGUAUUUUAUGUGAACUUACUGGACGUAAAGUAUAUGACUCAUGAUGUGGUGCACUAUUUUAUUAAAACUGGCUACUGGAUAUAUAAAAAGUAUAAAAAAAUGUAUAAUAUGAACCAUGUUCUGUCAAUAGUAGCUCUCUCUUGCUAUCUCACAUUUAAGUUACAUUUGUCAGUGUGGCAAACUUUCUUAUCUAACUAUUUUACAACCUGUGUUAUUCGAUGGCCUAAAUAACCCGACCAGUUCAACAAGAGUGAUUUCUUUUUUUACAAUGGGUCACUCCUCGAUGGGUAAACCCUGACUAAAUUAAAUAUUAAUUACUGUAAGUACCACCAUCGGCACAACAAUUCCAUUAUUAUAACGUCAGAACUCCCUUGGGCUUUUUUUCCCUUUUCUUUUCCCCUCUAAAAAAGGUAUUAAUGUUUAAUGUGGUCAUGAAUAAAUAUUUUGUAUCAAGGGAUUGGAUUUUUGCAUUCCCCUCUCCACUCCCGCUGUUGAAGUACCAUUAAUUAAAGUACAAUCUCGAUGCCUAUUUUUCCUCAGACUCGAAACAUGCAUAAUGGCGCCGCACAUAAUAAUUAAUAAAAUGAUGUGUAAUAUCUUGAUUUGUCCGUAGGGGGGUGAGAGCAAGGAGAUAAAUUAUUAAUCAGCCCUUCGGGUCACUGUUUUACCAAUAUGGGCCAGAGUCCAACGAGCUUAAGGUGAGUGAGUGGCACAUUUAGAAUAUUUUGUUGCCUAGGAAAGCUGCAGUAAAAAAUGUAGAAAAAAAAGAACUCUUCAGAGAAAAGAUUAUCCCUUUUAAAGUGCAAAUGGCUACAAUAACUCGGUGUGUUUGAAGAAGGUGCAUAAAGAUGUCGGAAUACAGAUAUGACAUCAAUGUUUUAGCACUAGUUUUUAAACUACGGUGCGCAACAUGGUUCAAUGCGUCAAUAAAUUAGCACAAUCGACUUUUUCGGUUCGCUGGUAUCUUGGAGCUAGAAUUGGGAUCAUGUGUAUACUGUGAUAAUGCUGGAACAAAAAUUGAAAUUUUUUCUUAACGUUUAAAACUGUACAUUUUUAUCGGUUUUCCGUUAAAACGAUAAGAAAAAGGAAUAAAAUUCCACAUGAAUUCACAAUGCAGAUGGUCUACAUCACGCUUCCCGUUGAGAGAGAAAAUUCAGUUUCAAGUUUUAAUGCCACAUGCACAAGUACAGUGACAUGCCUUUCUUGCAAGCUCCAAACCCAACAAAGCAGUAAUCAAUAUCAAUGAAGUGCACAAAACAUUAAGGACACCUGCUAUUUCCAUGACAUAGACUGACCAGGUGAAUCUAGGCAAAAGCUAUGAUCCCUUAUUGAUGGCACUUGUUAAAUCCACUUCAAUCAGUGUAGAUGAAGGGGAGGAGACAGGUUAACCCAUCAGAGUCUAAACCCUGUCUAAGCCAGGGGGGAGAUAAAUUAUUUUUGGUCUUACUGCUAUUAGCCCAUACAAAUGCAUUGAAUAACAUAUUCACCACAUGGAUAGUCCCCCAAAAAGUAUCAAAAUGAUUUUUUUUGUUGUUGAGAGAUAUAAGAAAUAUCAGGAAACCAUUUUUUUUUUUUACAUGUAUUUAACCCCGUGUUGUUGACAUUAAACAGUCUCCAUUUAUACUUCCAUGCAUUUUUUAAACUGGCACCAAGUGACCUUUAGACGAGUCUUGUGAGGCCUGUGGGCAUGCUAGAGUAAUGCAAAACCUACAUGUUCGUGAGAGUCUUAUCUUUCCAUAGAGGGGUCAUAAUAGUUUUGUAGACCAAACCGUUCGGACGCUACAGACGAUUUCAUGAGAAGACCAAUUUCCGGGAUGUCUAAUGGUCUGACAAAUACCGCUCUGUUACCUUUCACUGCAGAUACAGAAAAAAACGGUGCAAAAAAACUGUUCUCUAUCUUAAACUGGAAUAUGUUCCGUGAUUCAUCCGAUGGCAUUGAGGAGUAUACCACCUCAGUCACCGGCUUCAUCAAUAAGUGCAUCGACGACGUCGUCCCCACAGUGACCGUACGUACAUAUCCCAACCAAAAGCCAUGGAUUACAGGCAACAUCCUCAUCAAGCUAAAGGCUAGAGCUGCCGCUUUCAAGGAGUGGGAAACUAAUCCGGACGCUUAUAAGAAAUCACGCUAUACCCUCAGACAAAACAUCAAACAGGCAAGGCAUGGACUAUACAAGGUGUCAAAAGCAUUCCACAGGGAUGCUGGUCCAUGUUGACUCCAAUGCAUCCCACAGUUGUGUCAAGUUGGCUGCAUGUCCUUUGGGUGGUGGACCAUUCUUGAUACACAUGGGAAACUGUAGAGCAUGAAAAACCCAGCAGUGUUGCAGUGUUUGACACACACCGGUGUGCCUGGCACCCAAUACCACCCGUUCAAAGGCAUUUCAUAUUUUGUCUUGCACAUUCACAUUCUGAAUGGCACACAUACACAAUCAAUGUCUCAGUUGUCUUAAAAUUCCUUCUUUAAUAAGGUCGAUGUCACGUUCUUGAAAAUGAGCGGACCAAGGCGCAGCGUGAGUAUAGUUCCACAUAUGUUUAAUCUCCGCAAAACAAACAAAACAAUAACAAAACGUGAAGUCAUGACGUGCACACAGGCAACUAAACACAAACAAUAUCCCACAAAACACAGGUGGGGAAAUGGAUACCUAAAUAUGAUCCCCAAUCAGAGGCAACGAUAAACAGCUGCCUCUAAUUGGGAACCAUAUUAGCACCAACAUAGAAAUAAACAUACUAGAACACCCCCUAGUCACGCCCUGACCUACUACACCAAAGAGAACCAAGGGCUCUCUAUGGUCAGGGCGUGACAGUCGAUGUCCGAGGCCCCGGGUAAAAGUAAUUAGCAUAAUACAAAAAAAGACCCAUAAAAAUCUGUCCGUUUUAACAUUUACAUUUUACAUUUACGUCAUUUAGCAGACGCUCUUAUCCAGAGCGACUUACAAAUUGGUGCAUUCACCUUAUGGUCAGAUUUGCAUGUCUCUAUGUGUGGUCUAAAGUUUUCUUUUCUCUGGUUGCAAAUGUGACAUGCUGGUAGAAAUUAGGUAAAACGGAUUUAAAUUUACCUGCAUUAAAGUCCCUGGCCGCUUCUGGAUGAGCAUUUUCUUGUUUGCUAAUGGCCCUAUACAGCUGGUUGAGUGCGGUCUUAGUGCCAACAUCGGUUUGUGUUGGUAAAUAGAUGGCUACGAAAAAUAUAGAUGAAAGCUCUCUUGGUAGAUAGUGAGGUCUACACCUUAUCAUGAGGUACUCUACCUCAGGCGAGCAAUACCUCGAAACUUCCUUAAUAUUAGACAUCGUGCACCACCUGUUAUUGACAAAUAGACACACACCACCACCACCUCUUAUCUUACCGGACGUAGCUGUUCUGUCCUGCCGAUGCACAGAAAACCUAGACAAUUGUAUAUUAUCUACAUCGUCGUUCAGCCACGACUCAGAGAAAAAUAAGACAUUACAGUUUUUAUUGUCCUGUUGGUAGGAUAGUCUCGAACGGAGCUCAUCCUAGUUUAUUCUCCAGUGAUUGCACGAAUUCUCACAAUGCAACCCGAUCUCCCCCCUGUGUACUUCCGUCUUUUCUUCAAGCGAAUGACGGGGAUUUGGGCCUGGUCUGGAGAAACAGUAUAUCCUUUGUGUCUGACUCAAUAAAGAACAAAUCUUUGUCCAGUUCGAGGUGAGUAAUCGCUGUUCUGAUAUCCAGAAGCUGUUUGCGGUCAUAAAAGACCAACAUUAUGUAAAAAAUAAGUUAGAAACAAUGCAAAAAAAACACACAAAAUAGCAGACGGUUAGGAGCCCGUAAAAUGGCAGCCAUCCCCUCCGGUGCCAUUCAAUCCCCUCUGGUAGCUAAUCAAUGGAAGUUAAACGUCAAGGACAGGCUACAACACUAAGAGCCAGCAGGUAGGCUGUUACUUAACAAUCUGAACGGAGUUGUUGUUAUUUACUGCAGGAUUCAGAAGGGGAGAAAGUUAUGUAGUAUCAAUUAGCCUAGCUAACGUUUGCUGGCAGGCUAGAUAGCUUAACAAGCUUCUCUCAGUUUGAUGCAGUCAAGACAGAUACUAUGUAAUCAGAUAAGAUGAUAAAUAACUAGCAAUAAGUUUGUCUACCAGCUCAAGUCGACUUGGUUGCUAUCUCUCUCCCCCUCACUGCUCCCCUCGUUACUCACAUUUGAGCUGCUGCUCUGCUUUGAAACUCUUUCAUUACAGCUCCGGUUAAUAAAGUACCAAAACAAAGGCUUUUUUUUCUCCUACUAAUGUUACAGCAUCCCUUUAUGAUAAUGAUCGGGACCUGUUAGUGGUAGUUUAGGUAUUUAUUUUCUUAACGUUAAAGAGCGACUGCCCCUAAAAACCAACUAAUCAACUAAACCAACUACUCCCCUUGAAAAACGAUAUGAGCCAGAAACCUUUAUUCUAGUGCAAAAAGGAACAUUUUAAAGUUUUUACGCUACAUCGGUCUGCUAAUUAUUUCUUAAUAUAUUUUUUUAUUCUGAUUUUUCAGGGGGUACUGCAGCACCCUCAGCACCCCUACUUCCCACGGCUAUGAUUGGUUGGUCCCCAGUGGUGACAAAGUGAACGGUUGGGUGCCAGACUGAUCCCCUAUUUAUGAACGGAUGCCGGGGACCUACCAGAAGGAACAAAUAGUCUCCCUCGACUGAAAAGGACACGCCAUCAUGAAACUUCUGAUAAGUGACCCUAGUUACUGCCCUGAUGAGACAGACGGCUUCAUCAACGAUGAAAAGUAAUUUGUGUUAUGUGAAAAGCUGUAUUCAAAAAUACCUGGCUUGAAAACUAGUAAACUUAUUCCCCAGCCAAGCAGAUACAAAUAGUAAUUUUGGUUGUGAAGUUCAUUAUCAAAAAGUUUUGUCCUUUCUUUAGAACAAAAUGUAAUUUACCACUUUAUUUUACCAAUUUACCACUGUGCAUUAUAUCACCCUGCCACAAGCCGUUCCAGUCAACACCACCUCUUAAGAUUGCCUGCUACAGUUCAAAAGAUAUCCUGUUUGCAGCUGAAUAUGCAGCAUAGAGAAGACCAGCAAGGUGGCCCUCAUCAGCAUCAUGCAGACAUGCCCUCUCUGUGAGCAUUCCUAUGAAUGGAACAGUCAGUAUCCGGCCAGAAAGCUUCACCUGUCAGCGUGUUCACCAUAUAAUGUCCAGGCUAUAACCUAGCCUGGUGGAACCAGCCUGAUCACUGUGUUCCCAUAUACAGUUGAAGUCGGAAGUUUACCUUAGCCACAUACAUUUAAACUCAGUUUUUCACAAUUCCUGACAUUUAAUCCUAGUAAAAAUUCCCUGUCUUUGGUCAGUUAGGAUCACCACUUUAUUUUAAGAAUGUGAAAUGUCAGAAUAAUAGUAGAGAGAAUGAUUUAUUAGCUUUAAUUUUUUCAUCACAUUCCUAGGGGUCAGAAGUUUACAUACACUCAAUUAGUAUUUGGUAGCAUUACCUAAAUUGUUUAACUUGGGUCAAACGUUUCGGGUAGCCUUCCACAAGUUUCCCACAAUAAGUUGGGUGAAUUUUGGCCCAUUCCUCCUGACAGAGCUGGUGUAACUGAGUCAGGUUUGUAGGCCUCCUUGCUCAAAAAUGCUUUUUCAGUUCUG
rnacentral:lncRNA from 1 species